rnacentral:lncRNA from 1 species
CUCUGUCUUCCCUGCUAAAAGUAGUUCAUUAUAUAGAGAAUAGGAUUACAUUAGGGACUCACUCCUGGGUGCUGAUUUUCCCUGUAGAAUCGGACACUGAUGACCUUUCUGGGAAAGGUGAUUUCCAGGGCCCAGAGGCUGAAUCCCUGAACCACAAAGGAGGAGGAGAGCAACAACAACAGCACGUGCAGGCCCAGCAGAUCAACGGCCUGGCUCCACUAUCAGUCAGGCCACCUGACACGCAGCCUGUAGUGCCUCUUGUGGCAGAAGACCAGGACUGCAGUUACCACUACACUGACACCAGCCAGACUCAGCUUCAGCAGCAUUCCUCCCCUCAGCAGCCAACACUGAGCUGUCCUACAUCAAACAGGGAAGGGGCGGAGCAUUCUUCUGGGCUGGGCAUGACUGGGAUACAUUUUAAUUCUGGGAUGAUGGCAGGGGAUGUUCAGCAAUCUGGUCAGACGUAUGAUUAUGUAGGCAAGCCUGCAUGGCACCAGGGAGGGCACCGGUCCACCAUCACGCAGGAGGGCAAGGCCUUAGAGCCGGACCAAAUCCAACCAAAACAGAGCACCAAGUCAGGGUGGUUUAGUAGCUGGUUCAAACCCAAACCCAAAGAGGAACAAAGUGUUGCGUCUCUGGAUGACGACUCAGCAGAACCAGUUCCCACUAUGGAGGCUCCUCCCACCCUAUGUUCUUUCCCUCCCCCACCUACUAUCAACACCCUUGCAGCUAAUUGUCCCACACAGCCUACAUCUGCUGGGAUCAACCCCUUUUCUCGAAAAGCAGGUGAGUACUACAGCAGGCAGCAUUGGGCAAAACACUUCUCUUUUGGUGAAUAA